rnacentral:rRNA from 1 species
GGCGUAAGAGCUCGUAGGCGGCUUGUCACGUCGGAUGUGAAAGCCCGGGGCUUAACCCCGGGUCUGCAUUCGAUACGGGCUAGCUAGAGUGUGGUAGGGGAGAUCGGAAUUCCUGGUGUAGCGGUGAAAUGCGCAGAUAUCAGGAGGAACACCGGUGGCGAAGGCGGAUCUCUGGGCCAUUACUGACGCUGAGGAGCGAAAGCGUGGGGAGCGAACGGGAUUAGAUACCCUGGUAGUCCACGCCGUAAACGUUGGGAACUAGGUGUU